GCAUUGAUGGUUCAGUGGUAGAAUUUUCACCUUCCAUGAGGGAGACCCAGGUUUGAUUCCUGGCUAGUUUG
rnacentral:tRNA from 1 species